GGAUAAUGAUUUUACAAAUUAAGUUUUACUCAGCCUCUCCAGAUAAAUGAUUUAAUUUAAAAAUUGAUAGAAAAAAAGUUAUCUUUUGCAAUAAGUAGGCGAAAUAUUGAGCUAAUAAAUAGGUCCUUAAUGCCUGAGUUACAAAAGGCAGUGUUGGAAUAGAAUCCAAUGGUUAGCGAAAAUGGGCGUGCAAAUGCAAUAUGAAAGCCAAAUCCCAUCAAAUGAUCCACCCAAUUAAUAGCUAUAUCUGACACAACUUAUCAUUGAAUAUCUGUAUCUAUACCUCCUUACACUGUAUCUAUUUAUACUGUAUUGCUCUAAANNN
rnacentral:lncRNA from 1 species